ensembl:snRNA U6 U6 spliceosomal RNA
AUGCUUACUCCAGCAGCACAUACACUAAAACUGGAAUGAUACAGAGAUUAGCACAGCCCCUGUGCAAGGACGACAUGCAAAUUCGUGAAGCAUUUUAUAUUUUU